UACGAAGGUGGCAAGCGUUGUUCGGAUUUACUGGGCGUACAGGGAGCGUAGGCGGUUGGAUAAGCCCUCCGUGAAAUCUCCAGGCUUAGCCUGGAAAGUGCAGAGGGGACUGUUCAGCUAGAGGAUGGGAGAGGAGCGCGGAAUUCCCGGUGUAGCGGUGAAAUGCGUAGAGAUGUGGAGGAACACCGAUGGCGAAGGCAGCCCCCUGGGCUAACACUGACGCUCAUGCACGAAAGCGUGGGGAGCAAACAGG
rnacentral:rRNA from 1 species